rnacentral:lncRNA from 1 species
GCAAAUGAGAGAUACGCUGGUGACUGUUGCUGAACCUUUUUCUGCUCCAGCUAGAUAAUCGGAGAGCAACUGCCUGUAACUUCGGAAGCAAUGAGGUACUACCAUUGUCCCAUGUCUUUGAAACUAUGUCGUAACACUCAUGAUCUAGGUUCCAGAAAGCUUCGUAGUGAAACAUUUUUGUACGUCUGACAGAUGGGGGACGCGCUUGCAACAGCAAAGGGCAGUGAUCCGAGCCCACAGGAGGUAAAGCAUAAACUUCUGCAGAAGGGAAAGACGUCAGCCAAUCCAGAGAACAAAACGUCCGAUCUAACUUCUCCUUUACAAGAUCAUCCCCUUCACGGUGAUUGGACCAGGUAAAUUCACAGCCUUUACUGUGUAGUUCUAGAAGGGCACAAUCAUUAAUUAGGUUCCGAAAAGAGGUCAUUCUCGAAGUGGAUGCAGGUCUCUUACCCAUCUUCUCCCAGGGAGAAAGGAAAUCAUUAAAGUCACCAAGACAGAUCCAAGGUAAAUGAUUGGCAGCAUGUAUAAUUCUGAUAGUAUCCCAGAACUCUUGACGGAGUUGAUAUGAUGGGGGAGCAUGCAAGCAAGUGAUAUGCGUAGAGACAGAAGUUCGAGGAUCACAGGCAAUGAAAUCAACAAACUGAUCAUCCAAAUGAACAAGAGAAACUUCAAAAGUGUCAUUCCAAAACAGAGCGAGGCCUCCCUUGAAGCCGACAGGGUCCUUCACAUAAGAGUGAGUGAAAUGUAACUUCCGCUGUAUCCUAUUCACAAAAUUCUGAUUAUGCUUCGUUUCCAUUAAGAACAAAAUAUCGGGCUUAUCACAGGCUAUCAUCGCCUUUAAGGCUUGAAUUGUCAGGGGAUUGCCCAAUCCCUGACAAUUCCAAGAGAGAAGAUUCAUUUGGAACCCGGUGGCUGUUGAGGGCCAGCCGCCAAAGCCCGAAGAUCAGGAAAAGUUGCCUCAAAAACUGGGGCAUCCAAAAGAAGGGACUCAUCCAUACCUGUAGAUGAAGGAAAGGUCACAUCAUAAGGUGCAUAGCGUUUAGAUUUUUUACUAGAGCCCCCAAGAGACAGAGGACGAGUGAUCUUAGAUCGCUUCUGUUGCUGUUUAUCCACUGUACAGGGCUGAGUAGCUUUCAUCUUGUCUGCUGCAGGGACGAGAUCCGUAGUAAUAACAGAGGGAUUGACAACAUUCAAGCGCCCAGAAGGUUCGUGUUGUAUACCAGGAUUCAAAGUUACAUCCACCUUGGCAGGAAUAGAUGGAAGAGCGAGGAGUGCAGACUGAAAUGGAGGAGGAGUUUCAGGUACUGCUUCGUCCAUUGUCUCACUAGGGGAUUUAGGUUGAUAAAAAGCAUCCCAGUAUGGACUAAAUUGUUUAAGCUCUGCUCUCAGCCAAGGUCCAUAGAUCAUCGUGUCACGACCGUCAAAUUGGGAUUCAUCAUAAGGAACCUCCGGACAUGAAGCAGCAUAAUGCCCGAGACGUCCACAAGAGUAACAGUAAUGUGACAACCGCUCAUACCGAAAAUCCAACCAGAGAGUUUUUCCUUCAAUACUUAUGAGUUUGCCAUUUUUCAAAGGUGCUUUCAAAUCUAAUUCAAUCCGUAUUCUUGCAGAGUUAUCAGUUUUCACAUCCUGAACUUUGCCUAACUGAGAGACAGCUCUACGCAGAAUAUGAGGAGAAGUCCACUCCAAAGGUAAUCCAACAACAUGCACCCAAAACAUACACUUACUAAAAUCAUAAUGUUGCAAAGGAGUGAUGGGUUGCCAUGGGCGAAGAUUAACCAAGUGGCCAGAAAACAGCCAAGGGCUCCCAUCCAGCACACGCCUUCGCUCUAAUUCAUUUCGAAAUUUGAUUAUAUACAGCCCUGUAUCUGCUGGAGUAAUCUCUACAUGUUCGAUUCUCCAGGCUUUCUUCAUUGCAAUGUGAAAUGCUGAUAUGUUGACAGAAGGAUUAGUAAAAACAUUACCCACCAAGAUAAGACGACAAUCGUGCAGUUUGGCCGAGGAAGGAAGAUCAUCCCAGACCUCCAGCUCCUGUUCUGAGCAUAGUUGACCCAGGCG